UAACUAUGUGAAUCUAAAUAAUACAACGAAUAAGUCACCCUGGAGCUACAAGAGCUACAAACAGUAACCAUGGGGAAUCUGUGACCCCAAACCUUCUUGCACAGAGAGUUUUUGCCAGUGUUUUUUAGCAUCCUUCACUACAAGGAUUCCGGGUGACAAAAAGCUUAAGAAAGAUCUGAUAAAGCAGCUACUUCUUCCUACAAUUUUUCUUCCUUCAUUUGAGAUCCAACAGUCUCCUCUUCCUCUUAAGAUUGAAGGAAAAUUUUGCUCCAUGGAGUAGUUGCCUUGGUGUGUUCUUGAGUGCUGGACUCUUAACUAGUAUGGAAGAGAACUACAGGGAUGAUGAUGCUUUCCGUUCUUGAGAGCUGCAGCCCUAGAUUAUCAAGGCCACCGAGUUAAGCCUCUCCAUGCGACUCCAAAUGGCCGGCGACGCCGCUCGCGGGCCCAUCAUGGACUCGCCAACACGUUGAAGCUCUGCAACCAGAUGAACGAGUCGCCUGCACGGCGCAAAAAUGAGGGUGAGGGGGAUGACCCAGAUGCCCAGUUCCAGUAUCAACAUCGCACCACAGCCUCCUUUCUUCUUCACCUGCAGCCUGCAAACAUGCUCUGUCAUGUAAAUAUUGCUUACAAGAAUUCUAUGAACCCAACGAGACUUGAAUUAUUUGCUCCGAUCA